AGAUGAGUAUUUCAGUGUGUUUUAUAGAAAGUGCACUUACCCAAACAUUUCUGCAUUUUUACAGCUCCAGUUCAAUCAUUUAGAGUCAUUUUUAUUAUUAAUAUUCUUCCCUCGUCAGAAAUGUGUGGGUUUACUAUCCUUGUGGGGACAGUAUUUAUCUAUCCAUCUCUCCAUCUGUCCUACAGUGCUAAAUGUGCUAGCGAUACGUUUGUGUUGAUCUUUCUCUCUUUGUUCCUGCAGAUAAGGUGUUGGUGUGCUGCCUGCAGGGCGUCAGCCGCUCCGCCACACUUUUCCUGGCACAUUUGAUGAUACACCACAACAAAACACCAGAGGACUCCAUUGAUCUGGUGACACACAAGAGAUUUAUCAGGCCAAGCAGAGACUUCUUGAGGAAAUUAACAAUCCUCGCUGAGCAGCGACACUUAAUUGAAAGUGACGCAGCGAAGAACAGAAGCAACUCUGCUGCCGAUAAACCAGACCCUGAAGUGGAGUCAGUUGAUUCAGAGGAAAUGUAUGUUUGUGAGCCGUACGGUCUUAAACCAGUCACGAAGAUUUCACACAUACACGACCCUGAAGCCUGCUCCAAACUAGACAAUCUAGAACCGGUUCCAGGUCCGAGCGGUUAUAGACCCGAACCUAAGGCAGUUGAUUCAGAGGAAAUGUAUGUUGAGCCGUACGGUCUUGAACCAGUCACGAAGAUUUAUCACAUACACCACCCUGAAGUCUACUCCAAACUGGAUAAGUGUGCUUUAAAGCCCUAUCCAGAACCGGUUCCAGGUCCGAGCGGUUAUAAACCCGAACCUAAGGCCGUUGAUUCAGAGGAAAUGUAUGUUGUGCCGUACGGUCUUGAACCAGUCACGAUGAUUUCACACAUACACGACCCUGAAGUCUACUUUAAACUGGAUAAGUGUGCUUUAAAGCCCUAUCCAGAACCGGUCCCAGGUCCGAGCGGUUAUAAACCCGAACCUAAGGCAGUUGAUUCAGAGGAAAUGUAUGUUUGUGAGCCGUACGGUCUUGAACCAGUCACGAUGAUUUCACACAUACACGACCCUGAAGUCUACUUUAAACUGGAUAAGUGUGCUUUAAAGCCAGAUCCAGAACCGGUCCCAGGUCCGAGCGGUUAUAUACCCGAACCUAAGGCCGUUGAUUCAGAGGAAAUGUAUGUUGUGCCGUACGGUCUUGAACCAGUCACGAUGAUUUCACGCAUACAUGACCCUGAAGUCUACUCCAAACUGGACAAGUGUGCUUUAAAGCCCUAUCCAGAACCGGUCCCAGGUCCGAGCGGUUAUAUACCCGAACCUAAGGCCGUUGAUUCAGGGGAGCUGUGUGUCUCUGACUUGAGUGGUCCUCAACCACAACCUCAAAUGGAAGAGAAGAUUUCACUCUUGCAUUUGCAUUUCACCCAAAAUAUUUCCAACCUGGACAAGCAACAAAUGGAGAGCAGGAAGAGAUGGGUCUCCAUCUGUAAAGUCUUCGACAACCUCUACGUUGGAAGCUGGUAAGUCUGCAACACAUUCAUGAUGUAUAGUACAAAGCCAUGUGAUGCUUUAAUAGGGUAAUGGAGACAGUGUUGGGUAGGUUACUUCAAGAGAGUGAUUACUUCAGAAGCUCUCCCUGUUCCACAUUGUCUAUUUGACAUUCCAGCCUUUGUUGCCGGAAAUAAAAUAUAUUGUGGAGCUGGAUUAGUGACAAAUGAAUGAGUUAAUUCAGCUGAAUAUAUUGUAAGAGGUUACUUAAGAUACUUAAGAGGUUUCCUUUGAGUCUGUAUAUGUUUCUGCAUUGUAAGUCCGUAUAGAAAGCUGAUUAAAGUUGUUUGUGAUCUUGUGCAGGAAAAGGGCAAUGGACAGAGUUGCACUGAAGAGGAGAGGAAUUACACACGUCCUGAACACUUUACCCAUUUUGGCAAAUCAAGAUGCAUUGAGGAGGGAACAGGCCAAGCUGUACGAGACAAUGAACAUCUCCUACCACAAUGUGUUUUCAAGAGACGAUGACCCGUUUGACUUUAGCUGCCAUAUCUACCGAGUGGCAGAACUCAUGCACAAGAUUCUGAGCAACCCAGAGAAUCAGCUGCUGGUGCAGGAUCAACAGGGUUGCAGGCACGCCUGCUUUUUCGUGGUGCCAUAUCUGAUGAUAUACCAUGGAAAAACAUUGACGAAGGCCAUUAGCCAUAUGAUAAACCGUAAAAACAUCAGAAUGAGCAGGGACCUCCUGACGCAGCUAGUCGUCUUCGCUUGUCACCACAAUCAGCAGCAACAGCCGGGUUUGAUGCCGGAGUUUUCAUCUAUCGACAUAAACCACCCUCAGACCAUUUCCCAAAUGUACCUUCGUAUCGUCAAACCCUCCCAGUACUGGACUCCUGUCAGUGAAGUCUGGCCCAAUGUCUUCAUAGCUGACGAGUAAGUCUACAACACACACAUAUAACAGCAAAGCAUACAGUCAAAUAAUGAUGCAGGGUUUCACCCGGGCUUAAUUCCCACAGUCAUGGAGUUUUUAAAAGAUCUAUUGCAGACAUUAAAAGUCAGGGUAAAUGUUUUUAAGUCAUGUUUUAUCAUGUUGUUGUGGUUAGGGUAUUUCUCCCUGCAAUUUUAUUCCGCUUGUCAACCAGCACUCAAAUUCAGUCCUUAAAUUCAGGCUGGUAAAAUACUGUCUGAGGCUGGUUUUUGUUCGCUCAGUGCUCAGUCAGUUGUUGCGUCCCAAUUCGCAUACUUAUACUACACCCUAAAAGUAUGCAAGCUUUGGGACAUACUACUUCCGCGUUUCUUGGUAUCGAAACUUGUACCAAAUAUCGAUAUUUUUAACUUGUAGUAUCGAAAAUCAUAUAGUAGUGUAUCGAUGUUUGUCAAGGUAUCGUAUCAAAGUCUGAAAUCCAGUAUCGUGACCACACUACUUCAAACUAUUUGACUACAGAUUUGAGGACAGAUGGAGUAAAAAAAAGCACAAAAUGCUGA